rnacentral:lncRNA from 1 species
AAUGAAUACAUAAAGGAAUGUAAACUGGUACAAUUACUAUGGAAAACAGUAUGGAGGUUCCUCAAAAAAUUUAAAAUAGAACUACCAUAUGACCCAGUAAUUCCAGUUCUGGGCAUUUAUCCAAAGAAAAUGAAAGCACUGAUUUGAAAAGAUAUAUGCACCCCUAUGUCCACUGCAGCAUUAUUUACAAUAGCCAAGAUGUGGAAGCAACCUAAGUGUCCAUCAGCAGAUGAAUGGAUAAAGAAGAUGUGGUAUAUAUAUACAAUAGAAUAUUACUCAGCCAUAAAAAAGCAUGACAUCUUGCUAUUUAUGACAACAUGGAUAGACCUAGAGGGUAUUAUGCUCAGUAAAUUCAGACAGAGGAAGAUAAAUACCAUAUGUUUUCACUUUUGUGAAUCUAAAAAACAAAAAAUAUAACAAAAUGGAAACAGACUCACAGAUACAGAGAACCCACUAAUAACUGCCAAAGAGGAGGGGGUAGAGAUUUGGGCAAAAUAGGUAAAGGGAAUUAAGAGGUACUGACUAUCAGUUAUAAAGUCAGUCAAUCACAGUGUUGUAAUGUACAACAUGAGGAAUAUAGUCUAUAAUAUUGUAGUAACUUUGUAUAGUGUGUAGUUAUAAAAAUAUUGAAUCACUACGUUGUACACCUGAAACCAAUAUAUUACUAUAAAUUAAUCAUACUUCAAAAAAAGUUGGAGGAGGCCAAACUCAUAUGAGCAAAAUAUAUCAAAAUAAUAUAUAAAUCAGAGUGGCAGUGAUUCACUAGUUAAUAGCUGACGGCCUCAUCAUCAAAAGUAAUGACUGGUCCAGGUAAAGCAAUCUACAUGGCAACCUUCCCAAAGAUUGAUUCUUGAUCCCCUCAAACACUGUUUCAAUCCAAGUCAAGAUUUCUUCUUUCUUCCAAGGCUCAGAAAGCUAGUUCAAUCCCUUGAAGAGUGAUCACACUCACCUCUCCCCACAAUACCAGUGGCCUGGAGACAAAGGUCAUUUCAUGUACACUCUAGACACAGCUAGACAGAAGAACUGCCACCCAGGCAUCCAGCUGGAGCAAUCCAUGAAACCCACAGUUUAGUUUAGGCUCCUAAAGACAGAUCCAGAAGAGCCUGGGUUGCUUUAUUUCAAAUUGAAGAGGUUAUGAAAUUCACAACAUUUUAGCCAGUAACUUUCUCAAGAGGUUCUGAGCACAUCCUCUGGGCCCUGGCUAUUUUCCUGUGUUAACCAACCUACCAUCUCUAUCUGGCCAUCGGAUAUCACCCAGCACCUACUACACACCAGGCACUGCUCCAGCAGGUAAGGCUGUGAGAGUGAAUCAGGGAAGACCCUGACUGCAUGGCAGCCAGUAUUCUUUAAACCAUUGCUCAGAAAACCCAAAGGAGCAACCGACUGGUCCAUUCCCACACUUGAACUGCUGAAGGUGCUGUGGGAUUCUCCAGUGCAGAGAGAGACAGUGCCAAGGUAUCCAGCACCAAAAAGCUUUGCUACACAGUCUUCAUUUAACAGGUGAGGCACAGAGGGCUAAAACACGUGACUUGCCCAAGGUCACACAGCCAGGUAACUUUCAGCACACCUGAAAGGUGGGUGGGGCUUAGGGAGGGCAGGAGCACAGGCUGCUGGGAUGUGGCCCUGGAGGGUCUUUCCGCAAGGGGAUACAGCUGAGUAGCAUCAUCAGUGAAGUGCUCCCAACUUUCCCUUUUUGGGGUUAUAGUCCCGUCUUAAGAGAGUGUGUUUCUCACACCAGUCCCCAUGGGCUUACACUUCACUAUCUCUGUAAUUUAUUCCACAUGUACUUUUCACGGGCUUACCCUGUUUCCAGGGGUAACAGCAUUCAUGUCUCUCCUUCAGAAACAUGGAGCACACGGGUCCCUUCCCCCACUGAACUCUGGCUCUGGGGUGUGUACGGUUGGAGGGAUUUGAACCCUAGACACUAGGGUGCAGUUCUAUGCACUCCCCACGUCUGACCUUAUAAUCUACACUCUGCCAAAGACUGGCCAUGGGGUGGGGAGGCAGGCAGGAUGGAGUACACAAGGUACACAAAUGGUUCAACAAGCCAGAUCCCUCCAAACAUUUCCAUCACAGACCCUGCCACUAAGAAGAAUGAACACCCACCUCAGGGAACCAGGGCUGGAAACUGAACCAAGCCUUGUGCAGGCAAAAAGCUUCUCUAAAGUGUUACUUUUUCUCUUUUAAAAUACCUGAAUAUUUGCCUUCCUUCCUGUAACGAUGAUUGAAUAUUAAAAGAAUAUGUAUUCCCAAGCCCUCAAGAGGAACUGGUUCUCCAGGAAAAUGUGCCAUGUUUAUACCGAGGCUUCCAGCACUCCCCGUGAGGCCCCAGGCUGUGCACUUCUAAAGCUGGGAAGGACGGAUCCAGGAGAUCUGGGCCCCCUGAGAUUCCAUGACCAUCUGUUCAUUCAUGCUAUCUGCUCACUGAUUCACAGCCCAGAGACGCCCCAGGUUAGUGGCAGGUGGCUGAGUCAGCAGCUCUCAAGGCGAUCACCUCUUCCACCUACUCAUGAAUCACUAACCCGCUGCCCCUUGAUACGUGCCUAGAAAUACAUAACAGUGCUCAAGUGAAGUGGUACCUGGGCAGCAAGUUGUCACCAGCAGAAACCAACCCAAAAGAGGGCAGGGCCAAGAGUAGAGCAGGGUGAAGGUAAAGGCUGAGCCAGACACCAGACACCCUCAGUCAUCUAUUUAUCAUUACCCACCAUGGAGUAUUUGCCAUGCACAAGACACUGCCCUCUGCAAUGUGAAUCAGAGCUUUACCAAGUUCAAGAAGACUAGUAAUCGGAAAAUACUAACAGAAGGUCCUUAAGUUUGGUGUUCUAGGAGAGGGAAUGGGGGAGGAGGGUGCUGGUUAGAGGAAAAAGAGAUGACUUCUAGCUUGAAGUCAUCAAAAGCUGAAGCAUCCUGCAAGAGCUGGCUUGGGCCCCAGGCUACGAAGACUCAGUGGGACUUAGGGGUACAUAAGCAAGGAAGCAGAAAAGACAGAGAGAAGCAGGAAACAGAGGUGCACAGACAAGGACACAAAGGGGAGAGAAGACAGGGAGGAUGAAUGGAGCUAUUUGGACAUCAAGAAAAGAUGUUUGGUCAUUUUUUGGCCAUGCCACCAGCACGUGGAUGUUCCUAGGCCAAGGAUCAAAUCCAUGCCACGACAGCAACCCAAGCCACUGUAGUGACAAUGCCAGAUCCUUAACCCACGCCACCACAGAGGAACUCCAAUAUGUUCUGACUUUUUGUUUUCCUUCGGCUAAUGAGGAGCCAGGAAAGAGUAUUCGAUGAGGAACAUGAAAUAAUUAGCGAACAUUUAGAAAGUUUAAUUGGGUAGUCAGAUCACUUAGAAACGAGAGCAUCAUGAAGCCAGCUGGACUACUGCAAUA